UACAGAGGGUGCGAGCGUUGUUCGGAAUUACUGGGCGUAAAGAGCGUGUAGGCGGCCAGGUAGGUCUGCUGUGAAAACUCGAGGCUCAACCUCGAGAUGUCGGCGGAAACCAUCUGGCUAGAGUCCGGAAGAGGAGAGUGGAAUUCCUGGUGUAGCGGUGAAAUGCGCAGAUAUCAGGAAGAACACCCGUGGCGAAGGCGGCUCUCUGGGACGGUACUGACGCUGAGACGCGAAAGCGUGGGGAGCGAACAGG
rnacentral:rRNA from 1 species